CAGUGAUGCUGAAGAUGGGUGGCGUGGGUGGGAUGUUGGUGCUCCACUGACAGACUACCUCUGUUUUGGUGAUGUUGAUGGUCAGCCCCAUCCUGCUGUAAGCCUUCACAGCUGCAUCCAGGACAGCCUGGAGGUCUUGUGGAGUGUGAGCCACAAGAGCGCAGUCAUCUGCAUACUGCAGCUCAAGGACCCUCACUCUGUGCAGCUUGGUGGUUGCUUGCAGCCUCCUGAUGUUGAAGAGGUUGCCAUCUAGCCUAUAGACUACUGUCACCCCGCUGUUGUCCUCAAUUUCCUUAUGACAUACACACACACACAAAGUACACACUCUCUCAAAGGAUAGGUGUGUGUGACACACACACACACACACAGCCACACACUCUCAAAGGAUAGGUGUGGGUGACAUAUACACACACAAACGCACACAGACAAACACGCGCACACACACACACACACACUCUCAAAGGAUAGGUGUGUGUGACACUCACACAAACGCACACACACACACAAACACACACACACACACACACACACACACACACACAAAGACAGCUGCUGUGUCUGAUAAACACACAUUUAAAAAAGGACAGCAAUUUGAAACUAAGAGUGUUCCAUAUGGGUGUGUUGGUGUGUGUGUGUGUGUGUGUGUUGUAUGCCAUUGCUCUACAUGGUUCUUCUAAACUAACCCACUUGUAUCACUUUAGAUAAAAGCAGCUGUCAAAUAAGUCUGCAAAUGCACUUCACGCACAGAAUUGAGUGAGUGUGUCUGUGUGUGAGUGUGUGUCUGUGUGAGUGUGUGUGGGUGUAUGUGUGAGUGUGUGUGUGUGAGUGUAUGUGUUUGUGUGUCUGUGUGUGUGUGAGCAGUGGCGGCGCCAGACAUUUUUUUCUGCAGGUGCUAUGGGGGAGCUCGGCGUUUUAGUGAGGGUGCUAUGAAAUUAGGAUGAUAGCCUAUGUGUCACAUGGUUCUCUACUACAACAACUUUACAUGUUUGCUCUCUGAAGCGUCUUUGGGGUCCAUGAAAAGCGCCUAUCAAACCGAUUGUAUUAUUAUUAUCUAGGCUUCUUCCGACAGACGCGCACAUCUGCGACCGCCACUGACAAAAGGCAUACAGCAUGUUAUAGAGUCCGCAAUCCCAAAUACCUAACUUACUUUAAAACACUUGUGGUAGUGAGGAUUUAAAGUUGGGCG
ensembl:lncRNA